UACGUAGGGCGCAAGCGUUGUCCGGAAUUAUUGGACGUAAAGAGCUCGUAGGCGGUCUGUUACGUCCGCUGUGAAAACCCAGGGCUUAACCCUGGGCUUGCAGUGGAUACGGGUAGACUAGAGGCAGGUAGGGGAGAAUGGAAUUCCCGGUGUAGCGGUGAAUGCGCAGAUAUCGGGAGGAACACCGGUGGCGAAGGCGGUUCUCUGGGCCUGACCUGACGCUGAGGAGCGAAAGCGUGGGGAGCGAACAGG
rnacentral:rRNA from 1 species